AUCAUGAGAGCUGCAAAGUUUGAAGCUAUAAUUAGUCAAUUUGUUGAUUUUUCCAUUUCAGUGGCAUGAAAACCCCCAAAAUACUACGCGUAUUAUUUCGACAAAUAUUCACGACAUAAAUAAUGUCGCGACUAACAUUUUGCUAACAUUUUUUUCAAUUUUACCCCUAACUUUUUUCUGAGUAAAAGCAGUUUGAAGUGAAUGUCAAAAUUUAGAACAUGACCUUGACCUUUGACCUUGACCUUAUUUUCUAAGUUGGGACCCAAGGACCUUCAAUAAAGCGACUCUAGGUUUAUACAGCUUACGGCUUAUGAGUUUAUAUGCAUAUCACUUAUAUCAAACGCAUAAGGGGAAAUAACUCUCAUAUGGAGACUCCGGAGAACUUUGGUGCAAACCGACUCAUCAUCUUGAAGAUAUAGGAAGCACUUUGGUAAAAUAAAUUUGUCGUAAUCUUUUACGGUUGCGAAGGAGUAGUGGACACAAGAAAAACAAUGUUCGGGGAGAUAACUCUUACAACAUAAAGUGUACGGUUUAACAGGGUCAGUUCCAAAAGCGCAAUAACUGUUCGAUAUCAUAUGCGAAAAAUCUAAGCGACAUCUUGUAAAACCAGAAUACUACGCAAGAACAAAAUGUGGCGGAAGAAAAAAAUAAAAUCUCAGAACAAAACCAAUAGGUCUUUCCACGGAAAAGUGGAAAGACCUAAUAAUAAUGAGAACAAAUACAAUAGGUCUUUCCACAGAAAAGUGGAAAGACCUAAUAAUAAUCAGAACAAAUACAAUAGGUCUUUCCACAGAAAAGUGGAAAGACCUAAUAAUAAUAAUAAUAAUCAGAACAAAUACAAUAGGUCUUUCCACAGAAAAGUGGAAAGACCUAAUAAAUGGAGAGAAGAGGAAAGAAAAGAGGUGGGUGUGUGCCAAUGAGACAUUUUAUGAUAUAUAUGGUAAAUUAGAAUGGUUAAAAGUGCACAUUUACAAUAUAAAUCAAUUGUUUUAAAAACAAUUGUUUAACGGUCUUUCCCCUCCAAAACAUGAUAAAUUGGUUUUUUGCUUGGUUGGUUGGUUGGUUGGUUGGUUGGUCGGUCGGUCGGUCUGUCGAUUGAUUGAUUGAUUGAUUGAUUGAUUGCAUGCAUGGCACUUUUUCUGUGCGACGCAGCUAACUCAAAUAACGCCUAUUCUAACCGAACGUGACUGCGUACCUUGUACAUCCCACACAGCCAAACGGACGCCUGAGAUGUCCUCAUAAAAAUUGAUCCUAGCAUCAUUCGUUUAUAAAUUUUCUCUAGUUUCUAUGUUACCUCGGACUUCCAUUUUUCAUCUAUUUGUUGUGUAUGCAUUUUGAUUGAAUUUGUAGGAAAACGGAGUAAAUUUUAUCUUGGAAGUUUUAUUUUCCUUAUUUGGAUAUGGAAUGUUUUAUUCUAAAUUUAGGUCCGCGCGCGAGAUGGUGUUGUGAAGUCACGUGACCCUCGAAUAUAUAUGUCUGGAGUUAGAAUAUUAAUUUCUUUUCAGGGGAGACCGUUGAACAGAGCACAUGUGUACUGAUCGGACAAACAUGAUCACUUUUGGUUUUAUUAUUUACAGGUCAUUGAUGACGGAUCAUGCAUGCAUCUUACGUACACAUGUUUACGGGAGCACAGAUUUGUAUUUCAAUGCAUGAUUAAAAAAUUUGAUUGUAGGAUUUCAGCAAUAUUUACGAUUUUUCUACGUCAUUGAAUUUUAUUUCUCAAUCAAGCGGACCGCGUCUAACGGGAACAUGAAUUGGAGCCGAUUUUAGCAGGAAUUAAUUUCUAUUUAAGAAGUUUGUACAUCAGAAGGAUUGAAUUUUUACAGUCAAAUGUACAGGACUGAACUUCAAGGCGAAAUGGGAUUCCUCAAAGUAGAAGAAAAAAGGGGGGGGGCUAGAGGUGGAGGAUGGUGGACCUUGGUUGAUAAAUUAAGAUAAGAUGCAUGUAUACAUCAUGAUAGCUGCAAAGUUUGAGGCUAUAAUUAGUUCAUUUUGUUCAUUUUACUAUUUCAGUGGCAUGGAACCCCUAAAACAAUGACGCGUACCAUUUUGACAAAAACCUUUCCAGUUAUAUCAUGUCGCGACUAACAUUUUGGUCAAAUUUUUUGGAUACGGCUUACGGUUUACGUGUUACAAAAACAUAACGACACAUUAAUUUGGUAAAGGCAGAUAACUCCUUUAAGAUCUCACUGGAUCGCUUAGAUCCAAAUUAGGCAAAAAUUCCUGAGGAUGUAACAAACAAUUUAGAAAAAGAAUUUUUCGAUAUCUUUUUUUGUAACGAAGGAGAUGCACACACUUGAUAAACAGUGAAUAGGGAGAUAACUCUUACAAAGAAAAUUGUUCGUCUUAGCAGGGUGAAAUUUAAAAGCGCAUAAACUAUACAAUACAAUAUGAGAAAUAUCUAAGCGACAUAUUGCGAAACAAAUAUU